rnacentral:rRNA from 1 species
AGUGAACGCUGGCGGCAGGCCUAACACAUGCAAGUCGAACGGCAGCACAAGAGAGCUUGCUCUCUGGGUGGCGAGUGGCGGACGGGUGAGGAAUGCAUCGGAAUCUGCCCAUUUGUGGGGGAUAACCUCGGGAAACCGGGACUAAUACCGCAUACGACCCACGGGUGAAAGCAGGGGAUCUUCGGACCUUGCGCAGAUGGAUGAGCCGAUGCCGGAUUAGCUAGUUGGAGGGGUAAAGGCCCACCAAGGCGACGAUCCGUAGCUGGUCUGAGAGGAUGAUCAGCCACACUGGGACUGAGACACGGCCCAGACUCCUACGGGAGGCAGCAGUGGGGAAUAUUGGACAAUGGGCGCAAGCCUGAUCCAGCCAUGCCGCGUGUGUGAAGAAGGCCUUCGGGUUGUAAAGCACUUUUGUUGGGAAAGAAAAGCAGCCGGUUAAUACCCGGUUGUCAUGACGGUACCCAAAGAAUAAGCACCGGCUAACUUCGUG